UUAGCCUCAUGUUUACUCCCGAAAGCUCACUUUGCUUUUAGCCCUGGCCGUCGGCUGAGCGGAGCUGCGCAUGCGCCGCGUGCUCCCGUGGCAUAGAGCCUCGUCCAGUCACAACUAGCCACUGGGCGGGGUGCGUGCCGGCCGAGGGCGCCGGCUGCCAGAGUGGACAUGGCGGCCGGCCCCACUGGGGCGGUGCUGGCCCUCCUGGGGGUGCUCAGUGUCUGUGCAGCCAGCGCCUAUGGGUCCGUGGCGGAGAGGGAGGCCGGCGGUGAGGCGGAGUGGGCGGAACCGUGGGAUGGCGCGGUUUUCCGGCCGCCCUCGGCGCUGGGCGCAGUGGGGGUGACGCGCAGCUCCGGAACGCCGAGACCAGGGAGGGAGGAGGCCGGAGAUUUGCCGGUGCUGCUGUGGUGGAGCCCAGGGCUAUUCCCCCACUUCCCGGGAGACUCGGAGCGCAUCGAGUGUGCGCGCGGCGCGUGCGUGGCGUCCCGGAACCGCGGAGCGCUGAGGGACUCGCGGACGCGCGCGCUGCUCUUCUACGGCACCGACUUCCGCGCUUCGGCCGCGCCGCUGCCGCGCCUGGCGCACCAGAGCUGGGCGCUCCUCCACGAGGAGUCGCCCCUCAACAACUUCUUGCUGAGCCACGGCCCGGGCAUCCGCCUCUUCAAUCUUACCUCCACAUUCAGUCGCCACUCGGAUUACCCGCUGUCGCUGCAGUGGCUGCCCGGGACCGCCUAUCUGCGCCGCCCAGUGCCUCCGCUCCGGGAACGCGCGGAGUGGCGCCGCCGCGGCUACGCCCCGCUGCUCUAUCUCCAGUCCCACUGCGACGUGCCUGCGGACCGGGACCGCUACGUGCGCGAGCUCAUGCGCCACAUCCCGGUAGACUCCUACGGGAAAUGCCUGCAGAAUCGGGAGCUGCCCACUGCGCGGCUACAGGACACAGCCACGGCCACCACCGAGGAUCCAGAGCUCUUGGCUUUCUUGUCCCGCUAUAAGUUCCACUUGGCCCUGGAAAAUGCCAUCUGUAACGACUACAUGACAGAAAAACUGUGGCGUCCCAUGCAUCUGGGCGCUGUGCCCGUGUACCGCGGCUCUCCCUCUGUGAGGGACUGGAUGCCGAACAAUCACUCCGUCAUCCUGAUUGAUGAUUUUGAGUCUCCUCAGAAGCUGGCAGAGUUUAUUGACUUUCUGGACAAGAAUGAUGAGGAAUAUAUGAAAUACCUGGCAUACAAGCAACCUGGGGGCAUCACCAACCAAUUCCUUCUGGAUAGUCUGAAGCAUCGGGAGUGGGGAGUGAAUGAUCCUUUGCUGCCUAACUACCUCAACGGCUUCGAGUGUUUCGUCUGUGACCACGAACUGGCUCGGCUGGAUGUCGAGAAAGCCCACGCGGCCUCUCCCGGGGACAGCCCCGUCCUUGAGCCCCACAUUGCCCAGCCCUCACACAUGGACUGCCCAAUGCCCACACCUGGCUUUGGCAAUGUGGAAGAGAUUCCUGAGAAUGACAGUUGGAAAGAGAUGUGGCUGCAAGAUUAUUGGCAAGGUCUGGACCAGGGGGAAGCUCUCACUGCCAUGAUCCACAACAAUGAAACAGAGCAGAGGAAAUUUUGGGAUUACCUACAUGAAAUCUUCAUGAAAAGGCAACAUCUCUAAGUGCCCUUGCAAGAACCUUUAACUUGGCGGAGCUAAGGAGAUUUUAUUCUACCAUGGGACAUAAGGAGCAUCCAUUGCACAAACCCUUACUGAACACUGUCUUUUCAUGGAUUCAAGGCAUUCCAGUUUUAUCUAUUAAGAUUUUAUAUUAAUGAUGAGUAGCCAAGGUCUAACAUAGGGCCUCUCCUCAAGGAGAGAUGGAGGCAUACAAUUCUUGGUUCAGUGAGAAACAGAACCCUAAAACAUCCAUUUGAUUCAAGGUGCUGGUUGAAGAGUUUUUAAAUUACUCAAUUCUCUGUUUCAUCCUUUGAGCUGUACUUGACUACCAAUGAAGUAAGAUGGGUCAGGUUACGACUUACAACUUUUGUUCUAUUCCCCAAACUCCUCAUUAUUCAGUACGUUUCCCAAUAAUCUCUUCUUCUCAUCUCUUGCUUUAUAAAUUGUUAUGUUGGUGGAGAAGCAAAACUUCUGAAAAGAACAAGAGGGAAGACCUCCAGGCUGGGUGCAGUGACUCAUACCUGUGAUCCCAGCACUUUGGGAGGCCGAGGUGGAAGGAUCGCUUGAGCCUAGGGAUUCAAGACCAGCUUGGGUAACAUGGCAAAACCCCAUCUCUACAAAAAAUAGAAAAAAUUAGCUGGGCAUGGUGUGUGUGCCUGUAGAUUCAGCUACUUGGGAGGCUGAAGUGGGAGGAUCGCCACUGCAUUCCAGCCUGGGUGACAGAGUGACACCCUGUCUCAAAAACAAACUGAAAAAAAAAAAAAACAAAAAAAAACUUCAGGAAGAUCGCUUGAGCCCAAGAGUUUGAGGCUAUAGUAUGCUGUGAGUGCACCUAUGAGUACCAACUGGGCAACCUAGACCCGUCUUUAAAAAAAAAAAAAAAAAAAUCUGUUGGGCUGGGUGCGGUGGCUCACGCCUGUAAUUCCAGCACUCUGGGAGGCCAAGGCGGGCAGAUCACCUGAGGUCAGGAGUUCAAGACCAGCCUGACCAACAUGGAGAAACCUCAUCUCUAGUAAAAAUAUAAAAUUAGCUGGGCGUGGUGGCUGGCACAUGACUGUAAUCACAGCUACUCAGGAGGCUGAGGCAGAAGAAUCGCUGGAACCCAGGAGGCAGAGGUAGUGGUGAACCGACAUCACGCCAUUGCACUCUAGCCUGGGCAACAAGAGUAAAACUCUAUCUCAAAAAAAAAAAAAUUCUGUUAAAAUUUGAUAUAGUAGGCACUGACAAAAGAGGUCAAAUGCAGGACUGAUUUCUAAGCUUGCAAUCUAUCUAAAUGCAGAUGCUAAUUUAGAGUGCAUAAUACAUAUUACAUAAGUACAGACCUAGGUCAGGACUUAAAUUUCAUUAUGUGCAAUAAAAAGGUUAAAUGAUAGUUAAGCAAGGUGUAGAAUUAUCCUUACCUCUCCUUCUAAUGACACGAGCUCACAUUGGCAUUCCUUUGGUACUUUGACGUAUAAAGUGGGCAGUUGUUUCUGAAUGAUUGUUGCUGGAGCCUCAGGCCUGCUUUGUGCUCGGUGCUUUCCAGACUUUCUCCUUUAUUCCUAUCACCAUAUAAGUACUCAGAAAAGAGCAGUGUAAACCAGGUGUUACAUUUCCACAAGGGAAAGUAGAAUCAAGAAUAGCCACAUGAUACUUACUGAAAGCUUCACUUUCCCUAUAGAGAAAGCAAGCAAUAUGAAUUUUCUGAUUUGGGGCCCAGCCUGCUCUGUAUACAGCAGCAGACUCACUCACUGCAGGUUGGCAUUAUUAGUGACAGAAAUGUCUGCUAGGAGUCUUUUAAUUAUACUCUGGAGUGUGGAGGUGGAGUGCAAGGCUGCUUCCUUUAUUACUGCAAGUGUUAUUUUCUAUUACCUCAGGUUUCGUUUUGUAUAAUAAACUGCUUCUUGUUAAA